ensembl:snRNA U6 U6 spliceosomal RNA
GUGCUCACUUUGGCACCAUAUAUGCUAAAAUCAGAAUGAUACAGAGAAGAUUAGCCUGGCCCCUGCACAAAGAUAACAUGGAAAUUCAUGAAGUGUCCCAUAUUUUG